rnacentral:rRNA from 1 species
CCUACGGGUGGCAGCAGUGAGGAAUAUUGGUCAAUGGGCGCGAGCCUGAACCAGCCAAGUCGCGUGAGGGACGACGGUACUAUGGAUUGUAAACCUCUUUUGUCGGGGAGCAAAAGACGCCACGCGUGGCGUUCCGAGAGUACCCGAAGAAAAAGCAUCGGCUAACUCCGUGCCAGCAGCCGCGGUAAUACGGAGGAGGCGAGCGUUAUACGGAUUUAUUGGGUUUAAAGGGUGCGCAGGCGGAAGUGCAAGUCAGCGGUAAAAUUGAGGGGCUCAAACUCUUCGUGCCGUUGAAACUGGUUUUCUUGAGUGAGCGAGAAGUAUGCGGAAUGCGUGGUGUAGCGGUGAAAUGCAUAGAGAUCACGCAGAACUCCGAUUGCGAAGGCAGCAUACCGGCGCUCAACUGACGCUCAUGCACGAAAGUGUGGGUAUCGAACAGGAUUAGAUACCCUUGUAGUC